CAAGAGAAAAAAUGUGUUUCAAGUGUUUAUGCAAAUGACCUAAUGAGGCUGUUGAAUUCAUCUCUUUGCUAGGUCAUUACCCCUCUUAAUAGUACAACAAGGCUAAAAUAAACUAGCAAGUUUGAUCUCCCUUCACCUCGAUCAAAUUAAAAACUAAAGCACUAGUUUUACCGUCUUCUUUUCUUCGCUCCGUGCCUUCAACCUUUAUUCCAUCGAUAAUGAUCCAUGCGCACAAAUGACGUGGUACUAACACCAAAUUUUCAACUCAAAGAGAAUGGGUUAGUCCACAAUUAACGUUUGUCAUUAAUUACCAAAAUUGACAACGGGGCCUAGAUGCUUCACUUUGGACAUGGCGCAGAUGACGGCGAUGGCGACGACGAGGUCGACGAGCACCACUAGAACGGCACUGGCAACGGCGACGACAACAUGACGUGCGACCUCCUCAUGGCCGCCGACCGGUACAGCAUGGAGAAAGCUGAUCUGCGAGCGCGUGCUGGGCAACAGUGCAAGAGGCUCGAUGGUGGCAACGUCGCCGACUUGCUCGCCAUGGUCGCGAUAGGCAACACUGCGAGACCGACCCUGAAGGAGGCUUGCAUCGUGUUCAUGGCGACGUCCGGAAGGAUGAACGAGGUGGCGGUGAGCCAAGGGUAUACUCAGCUUCGUAGUUCUCGCCCUUUGCUCUUUCUCAAGGUUUUGGAGAAGUCUGCCAAAUUUUACAAAUAUUAGUUUUGGGUUGGACAGAAAGUCUCUCUCUAUAUAUAUAUACACUAUAAAAUUGUCCGUACAUUGGAACGGGUGGAGAUAAAUUUAAUUAUAUAUAAUUAGUCAUGAUUAGGGAUGACAAUCGGGCAUGACGGGUACGUGUAGUAACUACUCAUAUCUGUACCUGUCGGACGAAUAUAUGUGUGCGGGUAUACCCGUUACUAUAUCAUGGGUACAGAAUUUGCCUAGACCUGUUACUCGCAGGCAUACCCAUUUACCCGACUCUACACGGUCAAACGAAACCCGUGGCGCCCUAAACAUAUACAAUGCAACUACAAUGACAACCUUAAGGCAAUUUCAUACAGUUCAACAAUCCAACAUAAAUUCAAAAGAGGCAUAGUUCAAUACACAUGACAGCGUUAUUCUUCACGUUCGGCACCGCUACACAUAGUAUCCAUAGUUUGAUAGCCUACAAAUAAUCAUAGCAAAAAAGAUUCAGAUAAAGGAAGUAGAACCAAACACAUAUGCAAAAAAAGAUCAGCUAGCAUAUACACCAGCCU
rnacentral:lncRNA from 1 species